ensembl:lncRNA
CUCAGUAGCAGCCUAAACUAAAACUACCAAUGGGUUCCCUGUUUUCCUUUGUGAACAAUUCAAAGGUCCCUCUCUAUCUCCCCACACAUCCACCAACCACUGGAACACAUCUCCAAAGUUCUGCCAGGCCAGCUCAGCUUCCCCUCAGAAGAAGUGCCGCCACCUGCCAGAUGAAGGAGCCUUUUGAGAGGCAGCUGGCAUCGUGAUUGGACUGUACUUUGGUCUGUUCCAAUCCAGCUUCAGCUCCAGAGACGGCAGGCAGGACGAGUCAACGGAGGCCGGGUGGACGAAGACCAAAGAACUACAGACUCUUCACAACCUGCUCAAACUCUUGGUACAGGACCUCACCACACGGGUCAAGAAGGUUU